GAUGAACGCUGGCGGCGUGCCUAAUACAUGCAAGUCGUGCGAACAGACGAGGAGCUUGCUCCUCUGAUGUUAGCGGCGGACGGGUGAGUAACACGUGGAUAACCUACCUAUAAGACUGGGAUAACUUCGGGAAACCGGAGCUAAUACCGGAUAACAUGUUGAACCGCAUGGUUCAACAGUGAAAGACGGUCUUGCUGUCACUUAUAGAUGGAUCCGCGCCGCAUUAGCUAGUUGGUAAGGUAACGGCUUACCAAGGCAACGAUGCAUAGCCGACCUGAGAGGGUGAUCGGCCACACUGGAACUGAGACACGGUCCAGACUCCUACGGGAGGCAGCAGUAGGGAAUCUUCCGCAAUGGGCGAAAGCCUGACGGAGCAACGCCGCGUGAGUGAAGAAGGUCUUCGGAUCGUAAAACUCUGUUAUUAGGGAAGAACAAAUGUGUAAGUAACUAUGCACAUCUUGACGGUACCUAAUCAGAAAGCCACGGCUAACUACGUG
rnacentral:rRNA from 1 species